UUUGGGAGAACAUUAUACAGUUUAACAUUAAUCUUAUUGUUUUGUGAGGACGUCAGUCUGGAGUGAGGUGGGGUGAUCAUGUCAACAUACCUAGUAUUAUACUCAUGUCUAUUGCCAAGUGUCCCAUAGACAUCCGCGUUUUCGUGAAUAUACAGGAUGGAUCGGUAUAUAUAAGUAGAAGGCAGCGUCAUAACCUGGAAGUCAGAGAAAAUGGGCUUGCAGUGGGCAAUCGGGUUGGCACCGCAGAGGACCCGCACAGCCUUCUUUUGCAAACGAAAAGCUCUUUCCGUAUAUCCAACCCCACCCCAAAGCACAAUGCCAUAAGACAGCACACUAUGAAAAAGCCCAAAAUAGGCUAUCCUAAGGGCCGCCGGGGUUAGACAAUGGCUGAGAUGUCUCAGUAGGAACAGUCGCCGAGACAACGUUGCACAGACCUCAUGAAUCUGGCCUGACCAUGACAGAGUCCUGUCAAUUACGAAUCCCAAGAGGGUUAUAUUAUUUUGAUACAGAUAGUCGACUUUACUGCAGGAGAAGAAAACCAUUGCUGGAGAACAUUUGUUGCUACGCUGACAUCUUCACUAAGCAUUCAUUGAUGCUUAGCUGUUAACAGAAUGGCAGUGUCGUCAGCAAACAAGGUGACAUUCGCAUCUGGCACGGACAAUGGCAGAUCAUUUAUAUAAAUGAUGAAGAGCAACGGCCCAAGAACCGAGCCCUGUGGGACACCGCAGCUCACUGGAAGAGCAUCAUCACUCGACACUCCACCAAACUCGACAUACUGAAACCUGUUACUAAUAUACGAUUUUAUUAACUUUAGAGGGAUACCUCUGACGCCAUAAAAUUUUAAUUUGUUUAAGAGCACAUCGUGAUCGACGCAGUCAAACGCUUUCGUAAGGUCGUACAGAAGUGCCUUUGAUACGUCGCCAGCAUCGAAACCCCGCACCACACUGUUCACAAAGUGCAUAAGUGCGAUUCACACAGAAGUUUAUUUUCCUCAAAAAACAGUGACAGGCGAGCCUUCAGGGCUUUCUCAAUGACUUUACCGAAUAUAGGGGUAAUUGCAAUGGGCCUAAAGUUAUUUGGUAUCCGAAGGAAAUACGCCACUCGAAAACACUGCGUUCGUUAUGGCUGCCAGGGGACCCACGAUGUACUCAAUGGUGUGUUUCAAUAUUUUUGAAUUUAAGCCGAAGCAAUCGGUAGAACUUGAGUUGUUUAGACCCAUAAUAAUGCCAUACAUCUCACUCUCAGAGACCGGGCUUAAGAAGAAAGAUUUACACGGAGAGGGUGUUUUCGUAAGGUACACAUAUGGGUCACUGGAUUUCCCAAUGGAUGAUACUAGGUCAUUUACUACCUUGGAGAAGUAAGAGUUAAAUUCGUUGGGUGUGAUUGAGUUGGGUAUAGCCUUUGAGGCUCGGUUAGUUUCAUGGUUAAUCAAGGUCCAACAACUUUUGCUCAUGUUGCUGGCUCUAGUUAUAAAAUUGGCAUAUGCCUUGGAUUUUGUUUCUUUGAUCAUUCUUUUGUAGUUAGCAUUAGCCAGUCUAUACUCAGCCCAACUGUCGCGUGGGGAAAAUAUUCGACACUUGGCUUUUAAAAGCAUCACGUGAUCCCUCAUAAGUUUGAGGUCACGAUUGAACCAGACCACGGGGGAACGGAAGGAAUUACUGCGCUUUACGACUUUAAAGUGAUUCUGGAUAUUGGCGGUGAAGAUAUGAAGCAGUUCUUUUGUUGAGUUGGUCGGAUCGGCGUUAGUAUUAAUAAAAGGUUCCCAAUCGGUGCUCUCAAAACUUGUGCAGAGGUUAUUCAGACCCGCCUGGGUAAUUGGUCUGAAUUGAAUAUGGUCAUCGUGCACAGAGGAAACAUCAAAGUGUAAUUCCAUAAAAACAGCGGAAUGAUCAGAGAGUGCUGGAUCCUCAC